CCGAUCCCUGCCUAACACCAGCACCACCACUCCUAGGGCUUUUCAAAUGUGUCGGCAUCUCUACCUUGGAGAAGUGAAUCAUUCUUCCACACUCCAUAAAUACUUCAAAUCUACACGCUCUGCAAUCUACACAUU